AAUAAAUCACUAGACAAAUAAUCGAUUAGUUGAUAAUCGCUAAAUAAAUUAAUAAUAAAAAAAUAUAUAUAAUCAAUAUAAAAAUCAAAUGAGUAAAUAAUAAAUUAAAAGUUAAUAUAUAUAAUAAUAAUAUAUAUAUAAUAUAUAAUAUAUAAAUAAAUUAAUUUACUUUGAAUAUAUUUUUUAAUAUUUUUUUAUAAAUGUAAUUAUAUUGUGUAAAAUAUAUUAUGUAAUAUUUUAAUUUUUCGCGUGAUUUCGAUUAUAAAAUUGGCUUACGCCAGCCAAUUAGAAACAGCCGUUAGGUAAACUGUGGCGUACGGCGUCAGUCUCUUGUGGAAAGUCAUCGUGAUAGGACGCGUGACUGGCUUUGCGGAUUUGAAUACGCAGUAAUACUUUCCACUUCUUCAUAUUCGAUGGCUAAUUUGCAAUGAUAUUCUAUGGAUCACGACAACAUUGAUAACAGUGCAGAUUUUUACAUCUAAGCCAUAAGAUCAAUGUGUUCAGGAAUCAAUGUGGAAUCAAUAAAGAAUUCUUAUAUUCAUAUUAUCUUCUGAUUUUAUCUUGAGAUUUUUUGGUAGAUAAGCUUCCUAAACAAAUCUUUAAAUUAUUAUGUAUAAAAGAUAUUUCUUUUUUGGAGAUUAAAACGAGUAUUAAUUAAUUAUAUAGAUAAAAUAUAAUAGAAUAGAAUUAUAGAUUUAGAUGAUUUUAUUUCAAUGUUUUUUAAAUCAAGUCAUAUUGUAAAUUUAAUUUACAAAUAUUUUUACAAAUAAUUGAGUUAAAGAAUUUAUGAAAUUUUUUCAAGUAAAAGAUAUAAAAUAUAAAUAAUAAUAGUAAUAGUAAUAAUAUAAUAAAUUUAUAGCCGUAGUGUUACAAAAAUAAAGUACAUUUAUAAAUGCAUGCAUAAUAAAUGAUAACAGUAAUGAUUCUAAUUACUAUUGAAAGUGAUAAUAAUCAAUAAAAAUAAAUAUAACUAUGUGAAAUAUAUUUGAUUUUUUUUUUAAUUCUUUAACUCUGUAAUUUUCAAUAUUUUAUAUUUUCAUAAUAUAUAAAAUGAAUAUAUAAAAUAUUAUACAUACUAAAUAAUUUUUAUUUUUUAGGUUUAGUUUAUCUUGUCAGUUUUCCUUUCCUAGGAUUCUAUUUGUUAUUAGUUUUGCAAAAAAAUCAAAGAUCGAACAUUUUACAAACAAACGGAAGAUAUCAUUAAUUUUAAAUAAAUUUUUUCGUGAAAAAUGGCGAAUAGGAUCAUUAAAUAGUAUAUUAAUAGGUACAUUAGGUUUGUCAUCUGUGACAAGAUAAAGUAGAAUAAGAAUUGAGGAACAGUGCCAUCUCUCAGGAAGAGUGCACUAUCAAAGGAGGGCGCUAAUCCUCAAUUCUUAUUCUACUUUAUUCUGUUUUUAAAGAAAUAUUUCUGAUACUCGAAAGAUAGCGCUUAUAAUCACUUCUUACUCUAUUUCCAUCUUCUUUCUUCCAUUUUCUAUCCUUAUUUAUAUUAAUUUUAUUUAUGAUAUUCUGAAGAUGGCGCUGAUUUCCAUAUUUUUAUCAUAUCUUUGUCCUUUUCUUACUAUUUGCUCUUUUUGUUUAUAUUUGGUUUAUAAAAUAUAUGCAUCUUAAAGACUAUCGAUAUUUAAUUAAAUUUAUUGUUUUCUUUGUCUAAAUUAUUGAUUAAAAAUCGUAAUAUUUGAUCUUAUUAUUAUAUAAAUAUAUAUCUUACAUAUAUUUUUUUUUGUAAAUUCAUUUUUUUUUUCUCUUAAUCAUUUAUCGUGCGCAAAAUACGUGACAUUAUCCAUCUAAAAUUUAAUCGCAUAAGAAUUUAUAUUAUGUUUUCUUACAAUAUAAUUUUAUAACCCAAAACUAUUUAAACUUAUUAUAAAAAAAGUUACAUGUAUUUAACACGAGACUCGCGUAAUUUCAUUUCUCUUUGUGUCUCUUUCUAAUCGAAAAUGUACGGGAAGGAUUCGGUGUUCGCAUUAAAUAUCGAGUAAAGUGCACAUAGUUCCCUGUAUUUACACAAACCGUGUUGGUCCUUGCCGUGUCGUAGAACACAGAGAAUGAUUGAGUUCGCCGGUUUCAAACAGAGUUUACAGGAUGUAACAGGUUCCACCAAUGAGAAUUCAGUUGAUAGAUUGUCUGGCGAUCUUCUCUAUCUUCAUAUAGUACACGAAUUAAUUCUAAGACUCGAAAUAAUCGAAUAUUUCAAGUUUGACGAAUAACUUGAAUUUAAAAAUGUUGAUGUUAAUUUAGAGAAUUCGAAUUAGAAUUUAAACAUUAGAGAUAUUGUUUAAAAAUAAUGAAUUCCUUCACGGACGAUAGGUAUUAUCGAAUGAAGAUAAAAAUCGGAUUUAAAUCGAUUUGAUUUUGAUCGAGAAGCAAUACAAGUAAUUCUGUCACGCAUAAUGGACGAAACGCUCCAGAACCAGUUUCUAUUUUCGAACAAAUAUCGAUGUAUAACAACGAUAUUCGACUGUACGAAGCGGUUACGAAUCGGCGGCGCUCCUUUAAUUGAUAACCCGAUUAAUUAUGCAUUCGGACUUUGAGCGCAACACCAGUUCACCAGUUCAAACAAGGGUGGCAAGUCGUCCGGAAUGCGGCAUGCAAAGUGCCGCUUGCGUGCGAAACGGCUGUGAGCUAACGUGGCUUUUGUUAAAAGCGCUUAAAUUUAUAAUGACCGCCGUUAUCGGCCGUCGUGAUCGAAAGGUACGACGACCAAAUUUAAGGAUGCACGAACGGAAAAUUUGAUCGCGAUUUAAUUAUUCCAAUGUGAAUAUUAGAAAUUACAUAUUAUACUUUAUCCGAAUAUCGUGAACAUUUUUAAAAAUUAGUGAAUGUUAGAUACGUUUUUCCUCGCGUUAGAUAUCGUUCAGUCGCGAAAUAAUGAGUUUUCGUAAAAUUACUUCCAAGGAUUUUAAUACGAGUUAUAUAACGCGAAAUCGUAUAACUUGGUGCAAAGUAGGCGAAUGGGAACACGUUUUUCUUCUCUCGUAUCAAACAAUAUAAGAAGGAAAAAAAGAAAUUAUAGCUCACGAAGGCCUAUAAACGCGAGGCGUUAAGAAAAGCGACGAGCAACGAGGGGACAGCAACUUCUAGCUCGCGAACGGGGAAAGCUCGAGACGUUAACGACACCCUGCGCGGCUUUAAAAACUAAUAUUUUCAUCAUUGUUAGUUUUUAUGACAGAACGAGUAACGGAGCCUCGUUCCUUUCGUUCAUUUUAAAUCGAGGAUCUAGAUGGAAGAUGAAAUUAUUAGAUGAUUGAAAAAUAAUUGUUAUCUUUUGAAUAUUUAAUUCUUCCUCCAAAUUCUUUGUCAUUUUUAAUCUCUAUUAUAGGGAGUUGUUGUAUCGGAAUUAUUCGUUUCGUUCGUUUAAUUCAAAUAUAGUAGCUGGAAGAUAAAAUUUUCAUUAAUUCAUUAAUUAAAAAGAUAGUUUCGAUAUAUUGCUUUCUUUUGAAUUUUUCUUCCUAGUAAACUAACACUUAAAUUUUGUUCGUUAUUCACAUUCGUUAACGCGAGUCGUAUUUAAAUAUUUGUCGAUAUAUCUUCUGGUAAAGUAACACUCGGUAUUUACAGUUUCUUCUUUAUUCGUCGAUGCAUUUCUAAAUCGCGACUCGUUUAAAUAUUUGUGGAUAUUUCGCUGCUCUUUCGCAUUCUCUGCAUCCCGCACCAGUUAGAACAGUUUUUCAGGGAGACGGUGGCACAAGUAGCUUGAAGCUUGAAGCUUGGAGGUGAGAUCGUUAGCGCGAAGAGUGUGACUUCGCAUUGUGACUUGAAGUAUGUCUUAAGUGUUAGUUUAUUGUUACCCGCUACCCGGUGGGCAGGCUUCUCUUACAUAUUUAACCUGGUCCAUUAGUGCCCAGUCGCGUUUAUGUUUCGAAAUGCUGUAAAACGGUCGUGAAACGUUGCCGAGUUGUCGCGUUGAUACGUUUUUAUCGUGCAUAUAGUAUAGUAUAAUUUUAAAAUUUAUUAAUAGCUGCAAUUUCCUCUCUCCCUCCAUUAAAUAUAAGGAACAGGUGAUAUACAACAGGACGAAGAGAUAUACAAGAAGAAUCUGGAUUUCGUUCUGAAUUGCAGAUACGAUAAAUUAUCGAUUUAAGGCCAAAAAAACGUAUCGCGUAGAAUACACAAUUGGACGAUAAGACACGAUUGAUAGAUCCUAUUAGAUUUUUCUGUUAGAUUCGUGAGCGAAUCGUUUGAUUUGAGAGUCGGAAUUUAUCUUUAAAGAUGGAGCAAGAUACACUCGUUCAGAUUACUAUCGAAUAAAUCUCAUUUCGAUUUAUCUCCUUCGCUACAUAACGCUCAACUUUCUUUGGAAAUAUCUAUUCUCUUGUUGGAAGUUUGAAACGUAUCUACUUCUAUCUUUAACUCGAUCAAAGAAUCGACGGAAAUAAAGGUCUUUAAGAGAAGGAAAAGGCAAUUUUACCGACCGAGGACACGUGGUAGGCGGACUCAUUAAACUUUUCGUCGUUUCAUCCUUUGGAGGAAUCGUGUCGAGAGCAACGGCUCCCGCGGGAAUACCGAUGUGGCGCGAUUAUACCGACCGCCAAGAGAGAGCCAUCCCAGGAAAGGAUUAUACGACGAAGAAGGGUUAAAACAGUCCUCCAUUCCCGCCACUCACCAGAACGAGAAUUCGAACAUUUUCAUCCAGCCAAUCGAGCGAGCAAAAACUGACACUCUCCACGAUCGAAACUUCUCGAAACCGUGUUUUACCGUUAUUACCAGAAAGUUGGUGGAGAAACUCGUGUUACGACGAAUCCGCCCGUUAUCCCCGAAACAAGCUGGACGAAGGAAAAAUAGCGAGUUGUCAGUUAUAAGUUUCCAAGUUGUUCCGCCUCUUCUUGCUCGCUUGUCAUCCCGUGUUUCUUCGUUAAUGUAAUUGACCGGUGGUGAAAGUGGCGAUCCGGCAAGUAGAUGAUACAUGAGACCGGUAUGUACGGUUUCCUACGAGACUACUUCGGUUUCUUUUCGCCGACGUCUCGUCGUCCAAGCUGGUCGCGUCCGAUUUAUCGAAUCGACGGUAAGACGAUACGAUACGAUACGAUGGAUCGAAUUAUACACGCGAAGAGAACAGGCUCUAUGCCAGCGUGCAUUGAGUUCCAACCGCAGCGUCUCUCGAAACGCUUAUUCUCUGAUUACCGUGUUUCUCCAACCGUUGUCCAUCCGCCUCGAUUCUUUCCUUUUAAUUUCGCGCGCCCUCGAAAACGAAAUAUAUUUUUUUUCCACGCGCGGUCGGUUACUCGAGUAGAAGAAGAAUUAUACGUGGGAUCGUCUCGUAAAAGAUAAACGUUGAAAACGUAGGGAGAGGGGGGAGAGGAAGAGCACGGAGCCGCCUAAUUAAAGUGUCUCUCGAAAACGUUUUCUCGCUUCUUCUCCGCGGCGGGGAAUAAACCGAAGAGUCGGUUGUUACCAUAAAUUCUUAAUCCGAAUCGGCGGUAAAACUGAAAGUUAACCAAGUUCGGUAACAUUAGCCGUAACAAUGCUCCCAGUAAGUUCUUACGGUAACGAUGCUGUAACGACGGUUUCCGGACCGUGGCAAUUUCUCGCGAUAAAGUCACCGAUGGGACCCACAAGAAUUAAACUUGCUCAAGGGUUGGGUUUUGUCGUGGUGGUGCACCACGCGUCGCAUAGGGAUUAAAAUUUUACGAUCGCCGUAUAUCCUCUUCUCCUCCUCCCUUCCUCUUACACUUUUUACGCGUGAAAAUCUGCGAAAAUCUAGUGGAAAAUUCGAUAAUUUAUCAAAGUAGAUCUCGAUCGAAAGAAAAUUCGGACGAGAGGACAAAAAUGAUUAUUCUCUGCCAGCUAAUAGCGGAGCGUAAAUUAAUCGGGAAAUAUGCAGAUAUCGCGUAGAAAAUUUUACCAAAUUCCUACGUAACCGUGCUAUUAUGGUUGAGGAAAUUCGAAUUGAAGCAGAUUACCCGCGGAAAUUAGUCAAAACUAACAAAAGCCUCGCCGACCCUGCGGUAUUCAGCGGUCGCAAUCGCGGCUGGAUCGCGAUCCGCAAUUCCGCAAAUGGGGCGGUUCGAGCCUUCGAACAAAAGAUGUAAUAAUUCUGCCCCUGUUUUCCAGCACCCCCUUUUCACUUUCCACCCCUCCUUCUUUCUUCGCCCCUCGCUUCCCCCGUGCCUCACUUUCACCCUCCUUCCACCCUCUCCUUCUUUCUCUCUGCUCGAAGUCUCUCCAACCCUUACGAGAAACCCUUUGUUUGCAAAACAAACAAGAAUCGUUUGCUCGCAAGAGUCAGGGAGCGUUGUAGUAGCGGAGGAGCACAGGCGGAGGAGAUGGAGGGCGCGGAAUUUUAAUUACACGAAUAUUAUCGGUACGCGUCAUAAUUGUAUUAUUGGAUUUGGAAAUUGGCGAUCAACGAGUCGUGUGAUACGCGCGAUAUUCCUUGGUAAUAUUUUCCAUUGCAUUAGACGUUUCCCUCCCUUUUUUUUCUUUUUUUUGGCUUCUCCUUCGCUUCCGUCACGAUGUUUUUAUCCGAUGCAACAACGGCCAACGGGCUGCGAGUUGCAUGCUGCGAUAUUUCGUUGGAAAGUUGUAGUACCGGUUGUAGCCACCGAUCCAGUCGUGAUGAAUGAAUCCGCACCUUUUUAAUAUAUCGACGUCAUAAAAUGCCGCCGGUAAUCUGGAUGGGCGACAUUGUAAACAUUUUAAUUAAAACCUACGGAGGAUAUUUAAUUUCGAAUAAUUAAUGGUCGUUCGCCGAAAAUUCAUGCAUCCCGGACAAAAGCCAUCGCCCUCGCGAUUACUCUUGAUUUCAUUACACGAAUCAACAAUCGCGUCUCUGACGGCUAUUAAGCACCCCUUUUUUCGACCGUGCCCCCUCCUCCCCCACCCACCCUCUUUACCCAUCCACCAUCAUCCCUCGCCGCCCCUCCUCCGUCUUCCGUUGUUUGUCGACAGUGAUUUUGUUCGGCUCGAACAUUCGAAACGUCGACCUAUCGACGUGCACUCGAAACUUAUUGGAAAAUAUUUGCGUAUCUUUUAUCGCGGCACCGACCGACAUCGGGCCUACGGUAUUAACGUUUGUGAUAAAAUACACGCACGCGUGUAACGGAAAUAACGGAAGAAUAAAUAAAGGCGACUCGUCUUUCCGCGUGUUGACACUGUGUCCAAGCUUUCCGCUUCAUACCGCUUCAACUCUCCUCUCCUUUUUUCCCCCUCGGGGAAACGUUCCUCCUUCGAUGCCGCGUACCACAGAUUUCUUCUCCUUGGAAUAUUUCCUCGCUCCAUCCCCCGUGGUAACGCAAUCCGGUCACGAACUCCACUUUCUUACAUAUUUAUACGUUCUAGGAAACGAGACAAUGCAAAGGGAAAUAUCGAGAACGGGACGGACCUUUGGCGGAUCGUUCGAUACGCAAGAGGAAAACGACGUCGUUCGUAUUUACAACGAUUCCACGUAUUCCCCGCCGAAGUAUGCCUCGUAUACGCAGCACGAAUUGGGAAAAGAAAAAAGAGAAACACACGCGCGCGCGUACCGGGAGAUAGGGGAAAAAAUGUAGCACGCGCACACACGAUUGUGGAAUAACAGCGUAGCGGCACAGCGUACCUUUUGACCGUACUUACGCACCCGUGAAACUCGAUUUCAUCGGGCCGCGCGGGGUAAGCCCGCUGAAAGACGAAUAUAUUCCCGUAUUUCGAACUGCGCGCCAAUUUUCUUUGAACAACGGCCACGUCUCGCUCGCGCGCAGACAAUGCACGGCGGAUUCAAUAAAACCGCAACAAUAAGGGUGAAAACGGUGGGGU